rnacentral:lncRNA from 1 species
UUCAAAAAAAAUCCGAAAAAAUUAUUAAAAUUCAUUAUAAAUAUUGUUUUUUAGGAAUCCAAUAAAAAAUGAAGGUACUACAUUAUUAAUUUUCAUUUUUUUUCAUCAAUUUGUGAAUAUUGAGAUGCUCUUUCCCUGUAUAAACUUAUGUUAACCAUUAAAUUUGCAUCACAUAAAAGAAAAAUCAUAGAAUUAUCAUAGAUAAAAUAUAUAAUUAUACAUGGACUAUUAU